UACGGAGGGGGCGAGCGUUGUUCGGAAUUACUGGGCGUAAAGGGCGCGUAGGCGGAGAUCCAAGUCAGAGGUGAAAGGCCCGGGCUUAACCUGGGAAUUGCCUUUGAAACUGGAUGUCUUGAGACCGGAAGAGGUGAGCGGAAUUCCCAGUGUAGAGGUGAAAUUCGUAGAUAUUGGGAAGAACACCGGUGGCGAAGGCGGCUCACUGGUCCGGUUCUGACGCUGAGGCGCGAAAGCGUGGGGAGCAAACAGG
rnacentral:rRNA from 1 species